UAUUGAUAUAUUUUUGUAUAAUAAAUAUAUUAUGUUUCGUGAAAUUUUUAUAUAUAAACGUUAUUUUGUAUAGUUUUACACCGAUUUCGAUGUUUUCGAUAUUUGGCAGGAAAAAUGAAGAUUCGAAUGUAAACGUUGCAUUUCAAGAGAAUCAGACAAAAACGAAUGAACGAGGAGAUAUAUAUAUUCUGUCCUCAAACGAUGUGCAACAACACUUUUCCAUGAAUGAUGGCACCCACACGACAAGGAGAAUGACAACCAUUUUCUCGGGAUCUCUUUAUAAGAAAGGGGAGUUCGCAAAGGGAGGAGGGAGCGAUCAGAGAGAGCAGAGAGACACGAAGAGAAUUACAGGAGUUUCUGGAGUAUUCAUCGGAGGAGUUUCAAUCAGAGAGUUUCAUCUGCAAUUACUGGCCAUUUCUUUCCCUUACUCCGUUUUUAUUCCUAUUUCUGUAUUUUAUUUUACAAUGAAUUUCUGUCUACACUUUGUUAUUGUGAUCA